CUCGUAGGCGGUUCGUCGCGUCCGGUGUGAAAGUCCAUCGCUUAACGGUGGAUCCGCGCCGGGUACGGGCGGGCUUGAGUGCGGUAGGGGAGACUGGAAUUCCCGGUGUAACGGUGGAAUGUGUAGAUAUCGGGAAGAACACCAAUGGCGAAGGCAGGUCUCUGGGCCGUCACUGACGCUGAGGAGCGAAAGCGUGGGGAGCAACA
rnacentral:rRNA from 1 species